UACGAAGGGGGGCUAGCGUUGCUCGGAAUGACUGGGCGUAAAGGGCGCGUAGGCGGCUCAUACAGUCAGAUGUGAAAUUCCUGGGCUUAACCUGGGGGGCUGCAUUUGAUACGUGUGGGGCUUGAGUGGGGAAGAGGGUCGUGGAAUUCCCAGUGUAGCGGUGAAAUGCGUAGAUAUCGGGAGGAACACCUGUGGCGAAGGCGGCCCCCUGGUUGGAUACUGACGCUGAUACGCGAAAGCGUGGGGAGCAAACAGG
rnacentral:rRNA from 1 species